rnacentral:rRNA from 1 species
AGCCUUGUACACACCGCCCGUCAAGUCAUGGAAGCCGGGAGUACCCGAAGUCCGCUUAGCUAACCUCACGGAGGCGGCGGCCGACGGUAAGACCGGUGACUGGGACU